AUUGAACGCUGGCGGCAGGCCUAACACAUGCAAGUCGAACGAGUGGCGGACGGGUGAGUAAUGUCUGGGAAACUGCCUGAUGGAGGGGGAUAACUACUGGAAACGGUAGCUAAUACCGCAUACCAUCGGAUGUGCCCAGAUGGGAUUAGCUAGUAGGUGGGGUAAAGGCUCACCUAGGCGACGAUCCCUAGCUGGUCUGAGAGGAUGAAAGGCCACACGGGGAGUGGGAACCGGCCCAGACCACUACGGGAGGAAGAAGUGGGGAAUAUUGACAAAGGGGCGCAAGCCUGAGGCAGCCACGCCGCGUGUAUGAAGAAGGCCUUCGGGUUGUAAAGUACUUGCAGGUGGGAGGCGUUACCGACAGAAGAAGCACCGGCUAACUCCGUGCCAGCCGCCGCGGUAAUUC
rnacentral:rRNA from 1 species